rnacentral:rRNA from 1 species
UACGUAGGGUGCAAGCGUUAAUCGGAAUUACUGGGCGUAAAGCGUGCGCAGGCGGUUUUGUAAGUCUGUCGUGAAAUCCCCGGGCUCAACCUGGGAAUUGCGAUGGAGACUGCAAGGCUAGAAUCUGGCAGAGGGGGGUAGAAUUCCACGUGUAGCAGUGAAAUGCGUAGAGAUGUGGAGGAACACCGAUGGCGAAGGCAGCCCCCCGGGUCAAGAUUGACGCUCAUGCACGAAAGCGUGGGGAGCAAACAGG